UCCUUAGAUGUUCUGGGCUGCACGCGUGCUACACUGAUAUUGCCAAUAUGUCAUUCUUAUCCGAAAUGGAUUGGGUAAUCAAGUAAUGAAAUUUCAUGCUUGGAAUCGGUAAUUGCAAUUUUAUCGUGAACGAGGAAUUCCUAGUAAGCACUAGUCAUCAGCUAAUGUUGAUUAUGUCCCUGCCCUUUGUACACACCGCCCGUCGCUACUACUGAUUGGGUGUUCAAGUGAGAUGCUUAGACCCUUGUUGCAUGGUUCAUUAUUGUGCUCCGAAAGGAAAAAGUUUCAAGCUUGAGUGUCUAGAGGAAGUAAAAGUCGUAACA
rnacentral:rRNA from 1 species